rfam:Gossypium raimondii chromosome 11, whole genome shotgun sequence.
AGACGAGGAAAGGCGUAGUAAGCAACGAAAUGCUUUGAGGAGUGGAAAAUAAGCGUAGAUCUGGAGAUUCCCAACUAGGCCAACCUUUCAAAUUGCUGUUAAAUGCAUAGGCAGAUAAGAGACAACCUGGCGAACUGAAACAUCUUAGUGGUCAGAAGAAAAGAAAGCAAAAGUGAUUCCUGUAGUAGCGACAAGCGAAAUGGAAGUAGCCUAAACCAUGAAAACAGGGUUGUGGGAGAGAAAUAAAAGCAUUGUGCUGCUAGGAGAAGUAGUGAAGUGUUGAACCCUAGAUGGUGAUAGUCUAGUAACCGAAAGCAUCACUUGUAACCCCCUAGACCCGGCCUAGACGUUAUAGCCGAAUCUC